AUUGAACGCUGGCGGCAGGCCUAACACAUGCAAGUCGAGCGGAUGAAGGGAGCUUGCUCCUGGAUUCAGCGGCAGACGGGUGAGUAAUGCCUAGGAAUCUGCCUGGUAGUGGGGGAUAAGGUCCGGAAACGGGCGCUAAUACCGCAUACGUCCUGAGGGAGAAAGUGGGGGAUCUGCGGACCUCACGCUAUCAGAUGAGCCUAGGUCGGAUUAGCUAGUUGGUGGGGUAAAGGCCUACCAAGGCGACGAUCCGUAACUGGUCUGAGAGGAUGAUCAGUCACACUGGAACUGAGACACGGUCCAGACUCCUACGGGAGGCAGCAGUGGGGAAUAUUGGACAAUGGGCGCAAGCCUGAUCCAGCCAUGCCGCGUGUGUGAAGAAGGUCUUCGGAUUGUAAAGCCCUUUAAGUUGGGAGGAAGGGCAGUAAGUUAAUACCUUGCUGUUUUGACGUUACCCACAGAAUAAGCACCGGCUAACUUCGUG
rnacentral:rRNA from 1 species